rnacentral:rRNA from 1 species
AGAGUUUGAUCAUGGCUCAGGAUGAACGCUAGCUACAGGCUUAACACAUGCAAGUCGAGGGGCGAGCAUGGUCUUAGCUUGCUAAGGCCGAUGGCGACCGGCGCACGGGUGAGUAACACGUAUCCAACCUGCCGUCUACUCUUGGACAGCCUUCUGAAAGGAAGAUUAAUACAAGAUGGCAUCAUGAGUCCGCAUGUUCACAUGAUUAAAGGUAUUCCGGUAGACGAUGGGGAGUGCGUUCCAUUAGAUAGUAGGCGGGGUAACGGCCCACCUAGUCUUCGAUGGAUAGGGGUUCUGAGAGGAAGGUCCCCCACAUUGGAACUGAGACACGGUCCAAACUCCUACGGGAGGCAGCA